rnacentral:rRNA from 1 species
CGAAUCAGGUAGGGAUACCCGCUGAACUUAAGCAUAUCAAUAAGCGGAGGAAAAGAAACCAACAGGGAUUGCCUUAGUAACUGCGAGUGAAGCGGCAAAAGCUCAAAUUUGAAAUCUGGCGUCUUCGGCGUCCGAAUUGUAAUUUGGAGAGAUAUCUUCGAGGUGGGCGUUGCUCUAAGUUCUUUGGAACAAGACGUCAUAGAGGGUGAGAAUCCCGUGUCUGGGUGACUGCCCCAUCUCAUGUGAAGUGUCUUCGACGAGUCGAGUUGUUUGGGAAUGCAGCUCAAAAUGGGUGGUAAAUUUCAUCUAAAGCUAAAUAUUGGCGAGAGACCGAUAGCGCACAAGUAGAGUGAUCGAAAGAUGAAAAGCACUUUGAAAAGAGAGUUAAAAAGUACGUGAAAUUGUUGAAAGGGAAGCGCUUGAGACCAGACUCAGCUGUUAGGGAUCAACGGGGCUUCUGUCCUGUGCACUUCCUUUCAGUUGGGCCAGCAUCGGUUUUGGCGGCGGGAUAAAAGUCUAGGGAAUGUGGCUCUCUUCGGGGAGUGUUAUAGCUCUAGGCAUAAUACCGCCAGCUAAGAUCGAGGACCGCGCUUCGGCUAGGAUGCUGGUGUAAUGGUCUUCAGCGACCCGUCUUGAAACACGGACC